GAUGAACGCUGGCGGCGUGCCUAAUACAUGCAAGUCGAGCGAACAGAUAAGGAGCUUGCUCCUUUGACGUUAGCGGCGGACGGGUGAGUAACACGUGGGUAACCUACCUAUAUGACUGGGAUAACUUCGGGAAACCGGAGCUAAUACCGGAUAAUAUUUCGAACCGCAUGGUUCGAUAGUGAAAGAUGGUUUUGCUAACACUUAUAGAUGGACCCGCGCCGUAUUAGCUAGUUGGUAAGGUAACGGCUUACCAAGGCGACGAUACGUAGCCGACCUGAGAGGGUGAUCGGCCACACUGGAACUGAGACACGGUCCAGACUCCUACGGGAGGCAGCAGUAGGGAAUCUUCCGCAAUGGGCGAAAGCCUGACGGAGCAACGCCGCGUGAGUGAUGAAGGUCUUCGGAUCGUAAAACUCUGUUAUUAGGGAAGAACAUACGUGUAAGUAACUGUGCACGUCUUGACGGUACCUAAUCAGAAAGCCACGGCUAACUACGUG
rnacentral:rRNA from 1 species